rnacentral:lncRNA from 1 species
CAUGAAUAACCUGCAGCUGGAUUGUCUUCAUGGCUCCUUCCUUGUGCUCCUUUUGCAUAGAGACCCUGGUGACAAGAGAGCUCACUGUCCAAUCUGAGGGAAGCUGCACCAAUGAGAACGUUACAGUGGCUGCCUGACCAACACCUGAACAAUGGCAACACCAAGUGACUUGCCAAUGUGGAUUUAGGAAAUCGCAUGGACCUCUACCCCAAG